rnacentral:rRNA from 1 species
UUAAGCCAUGUGAGUCGAACGAGUUUAGGCUCGUGGCGUACGGCUCAGUAACACGUGGAUAACCUACCCUUAGGACUGGGAUAACCCUGGGAAACUGGGGAUAAUACUAGAUAGGCAAUUUUUCCUGGAAUGGUUUUUUGUUUAAAUGUUUUUUCGCCUAAGGAUGGGUCUGCGGCCGAUUAGGUAGUUGGUUAGGUAACGGCUUACCAAGCCAUUGAUCGGUACGGGUUGUGAGAGCAAGAGCCCGGAGAUGGAACCUGAGACAAGGUUCCAGGCCCUACGGGGUGCAGCAGGCGCGAAACCUCCGCAAUGUGAGAAAUCGCGACGGGGGGAUCCCAAGUGCCAUUCUUAACGGGAUGGCUUUUCAUUAGUGUAAAGAGCUUUUGGAAUAAGGGCUGGGCAAGACCGGUGCCAGCCGCCGCGGUAA